rnacentral:rRNA from 1 species
AGAGUGAACGCUGGCGGUAGGCCUAACACAUGCAAGUCGAACGGCAGCACAGUAGGAGCUUGCUCUUACGGGUGGCGAGUGGCGGACGGGUGAGGAAUACAUCGGAAUCUACCUUUUGGUGGGGGAUAACGUAGGGAAACUUACGCUAAUACCGCAUACGCCCUUCGGGGGAAAGCCGGGACCAGCAAUGGCCUGGCGCUGAUAGAUGAGCCGAUGUCGGAUUAGCUAGUUGGUGAGGUAAUGGCUCACCGAAGGCGACGAUCCGUAGGCUGGGUCUGGGGAGAUG